rnacentral:tRNA from 1 species
GGCGCCAUAGUCCAGUGGUAGAACACCUGCCUAGUAAGCAGGCUGUCGGGAGUUCGAUCCUCCCUGGCGCCUCCA